GCUUAUUGAGUGCUAUGAGGAGCGCAGAAGGGCUUUUGUGAGAGAGACUGAAGAUGGAGAUGGUCUCAUCCUGCAGGUUCAAGAUCCUUUCCGUCGAUUGUUGCUCCAUGGUGUUUGUGAGUUCUACAACUUGGUGUCGGUGACGGUUACUGAAUCAGAGAAUGGGGAGGCAAUUAAGGUGACAAAGAUAACAAAGAAAAAGGGGCGUUCAAUUGAACUUCCAAAUAUCACUCUAUCCCAUUUCUUGAAGAUGUCCAAGCAAGGAAUGUGGUGAUUCCAUUUCCAUUUGGUUAACUUAAAAUGUAUAAUAAAAGCUGGGCGUGCUGUGGUGUCAGUAACCUUGUGUGUUAGCAGCAUGAUGUAAAUUAUCAAGUCACUUUGCCCUGAUUAUUAGCACCUGUAAAUUAUCUAGGUUUGUUUUCUGUGAAAAGAUUUUCUAAAUGUACUAUAUCCGUCAGUCAACGAAUGAAGUUGAUUGUAAAUUUAGGACAUGUGAUUAUAAUUUA